rnacentral:rRNA from 1 species
GACAGAGGUGGCAAGCGUUGUUCGGAUUCAUUGGGUGUAAAGGGCAGGUAGGUGGCCCGGCAAGUCUGGCGUGAAAUCCCACGGCUCAACCGUGGAACUGCGCUGGAAACUGCAGGGCUUGAGUGUCGGAGAGGUAAGGGGAAUUCCCGGUGUAAGGGUGAAAUCUGUAGAUAUCGGGAGGAACACCAGUGGCGAAGGCGCCUUACUGGCCGGCAACUGACACUGAGCUGCGAAAGCAAGGGGAGCAAACAGG